rnacentral:rRNA from 1 species
GAUGAACGCUGGCGGCGUGCUUAACACAUGCAAGUCGAACGAAGCACUUUAUUUGAUUUCCUUCGGGACUGAUUAUUUUGUGACUGAGUGGCGGACGGGUGAGUAACGCGUGGGUAACCUGCCUUGUACAGGGGGAUAACAGUUGGAAACGGCUGCUAAUACCGCAUAAGCGCACAGCAUCGCAUGAUGCAGUGUGAAAAAGUCCGGUGGUAUAAGAUGGACCCGCGUUGGAUUAGCUAGUUGGUGGGGUAACGGCCCACCAAGGCGACGAUCCAUAGCCGACCUGGGAGGGUGACCGGCCACAUUGGGACUGAGACACGGCCCACACUCCUACGGGAGGCAGCAGUGGGGAAUAUUGCACAAUGGGCGAAGGCCUGAUGCAGCGACGCCGCGUGAGCGAAGAAGUAUUUCGGUAUGUAAAGCUCUAUCAGCAGGGAAGAUAAUGACGGUACCUGACUAAGAAGCACCGGCUAAAUACGUG